AUUGAACGCUGGCGGCAGGCCUAAUACAUGAAAGUCGAACGAGUGGCGGACGGGGGAGUAAUGUCUGGGAAAUUGCUUGACGGCGGGGGAUAAGUAGUGGAAACGGUAGAUAAUACCGCAUACCCUCAGAUGUGCCCAGAUGGGGUUAGCUUGUUGGGGGGGUAACGGCUCACCAAGGCGACGAGCCCUAGCUGGGCUGAGAGGAUGACCGGCCACACUGGGACUGAGACACGGUCCAGACUCCUACGGGAGGCAGCAGUGGGGAAUAUUGGACAAUGGACGAAAGCCUGAUUGAGCCAUGCCGCGUGAGUGAAGAAGGCCUUCGGAUUGUAAAGUACUUUCAGCAGGGAAGCGUUACCCAAAGAAGAAGCAACGGCUAACUACGUGCCAGCCGCCGCGGUAAUAC
rnacentral:rRNA from 1 species